AGAAUUCGAUUAGGAUUUAGAAAGAAUUUCAUUAUGGUUUUAUUAAGAUUUGAUUUAAGAUUUGAUUAGGAUUGGUUUUGGAUUUCAUUAGGAUUUUUUGAGGAUUAUAUUAGAAUUUGAUUAGAAUUCAAUUAUGAUUUUUAUUUUAAAUAUUUAUUUAAUAUUUUUUAUUAUAUGUAUUUUAUUAAGAUUAAUUAAUAAUAUCUUUAUAUUUUA
rnacentral:lncRNA from 1 species